rnacentral:tRNA from 1 species
GGAGUGAUACUCAAGAGGCCGAAGAGGCGCCCCUGCUAAGGGUGUAGGUCGGGAAACUGGCGCGAGAGUUCGAAUCUCUCUCACUCCGCCA